rnacentral:rRNA from 1 species
UACGGAGGGUGCGAGCGUUGUUCGGAAUUACUGGGCGUAAAGCGCGUGUAGGCGGCCUCUUCAGUCUGGUAUGAAAGCCCGGGGCUCAACCCCGGAAGUGCAUUGGAUACUGGGAGGGCUGAGUACCGGAGAGGAGGGUGGAAUUCCUGGUGUAGCGGUGAAAUGCGUAGAUAUCAGGAGGAACACCUGUGGCGAAGGCGGCCCUCUGGACGGAUACUGACGCUGAGACGCGAAAGCGUGGGGAGCAAACAGG